UUGACCUCAAAUCGGGUGAGACUACCCGCUGAACUUAAGCAUAUCAAUAAGCGGAGGAAAAGAAACUAACAAGGAUUCCCCUAGUAACUGCGAGUGAAGCGGGAAAAGCUCAAAUUUAAAAUCUGGUGGUCUUUAGCCAUCCGAGUUGUAAUUUAGAGAAGCGUCUUCCGCG
rnacentral:rRNA from 1 species